GACGAACGCUGGCGGCGUGCUUAACACAUGCAAGUCGAGCGGAAAGGCCACUUCGGUGGUACUCGAGCGGCGAACGGGUGAGUAACACGUGAGUAAUCUGCCCUUGGCUUCGGGAUAGCCACCGGAAACGGUGAUUAAUACCGGAUAUGACCACUCCAGGCAUCUGGUGGUGGUGGAAAGUUUUUCGGCCAGGGAUGUGCUCGCGGCCUAUCAGCUUGAUGGGGAGGUAAUGGCUCACCAUGGCUUCGACGGGUAGCCGGCCUGAGAGGGUGACCGGUCAAACUGGGACUGAGACACUGCCCAGACUCCUACGGGAGGAAGCAGUGGGGAAUAUUGGACAAUGGGCGGAAGCCUGAUCCAGCAACGCCGCGUGAGGGAUGACGGCCUUCGGGUUGUAAACCUCUUUCGCCUAUGACGAAGCGCAAGUGACGGUAAUAGGUAAAGAAGCACCGGCCAACUACGUGCCAGCCGCCGCCGUAAUAC
rnacentral:rRNA from 1 species